rnacentral:rRNA from 1 species
CCUACGGGUGGCUGCAGUCGAGGAUCUUCGUCAAUGGGCGCAAGCCUGAACGAGCGAUGCCGCGUGAGCGAUGAAGGCCUUCGGGUUGUAAAGCUCAAAAGGAAAAAAACUCGAACCCCAGUAAGCUCGGGCUAAGUUCGUGCCAGCAGCCGCGGUAAGACGAACCGAGCGAACGUUGUUCGGAAUCACUGGGCUUAAAGGGCGCGUAGGCGGGUGCUCAAGUCCGUGGUGAAAUCCUCCGGCUCAACCGGAGAACUGCCUCGGAUACUGGGUGCCUCGAGGGUGGUAGGGGUAUGCGGAACUAUCGGUGGAGCGGUGAAAUGCGUUGAUAUCGAUAGGAACUCCGGUGGCGAAGGCGGCAUACUGGCCCUUCUGACGCUGAGGCGCGAAAGCCAGGGGAGCAAACGGGAUUAGAUACCCUUGUAGUC